AGCAAUAUUUGGUAUAAUACUUGGUCUUAGUGCUGUUUUUAUUAAUGAUGGAUCUGCCGUUCGUACAAAAGGAUUUUUCCAAGGAUACAAUAAGUAUACUUGGACCGUUGUAUUUUUACAGGUAUUUAACAACUGUUCGCCGAAGGCGAGGUGAUUAUCGGGGAAUAUCAAGACGAAGUCGAGGUGAAUAUUCCCCAAUAAUCACCGAGCCUGAGGCGAAUAAUUGUUUUAGUAUUUUGAUACAAAUCUUUUGUGUGUGUUUUGGGACUUUUGUGUUUUUUAGUAUUUUUACACAAAUCUUAUUUGUUUUUUAAUUUCGCUUAUUUCUGUAGGUGAAUAUAACAGCUUAAUAUGUCAAAUUUGACCAAUCAACCUGUAGGAUUUGUUAUAUUUACUUGUGCAAAAAUACUAAAAACAUUUAUUCACUUUUUAUUCUGGAGCCGGUUGUACGAAAGCUGGAUAGUGCUAUCCACCGGAUAGUGUUUUUUCAAGUUUGUUAAAUCAGUCGUUAAUUGGUAUAACUCAGAUUAAAGUUUAGUAUUUAUAAGUUAAAGGUUUUUUUAUGUGGUGUUCAUAUCCGUAGUAUUACAGCUUUUCAGGUAUUUGUACAAUGGUUGAAAAGUCACUAUUUGGUGCUGGGAUAGCAGUAUCCGGCCUUGGUACAACCACAGUGCAAACGACCUCUGUACUAAAAGUAAAUAAGAUAGAACGAAGCAGCCAAGAUAGAAACAGACAUAUGGAAGUGAAACAAAAUUAUUGUUGAGACGAAAUAUAAAAUGCGACUUAUUUCGUACAAUUUCCUGAGUUUUUAUCCAAAUAUUCAUGCAGCCCGUACAUUUUGCUACUUCGGAAAAGUUGAACUGUUAUAUCAAGCAAAAUGUGGUGUAAAAAUUAUACGGCAAUAUUAUAUUAACUGAGACAGCCAAUUGGCAGGGAGUGCGUGCGUGGUGGACAAUUUUUUACCACUAUAACAUCCUCGUCCCCAUGGCUUCUCGGCUGCCUGACUAGCUACAAGAUCAGGCAACCGAGAAGCCCUGGGAACGAGGGAGCCACUAUAAAUAAUAAUAAUAAUAUUUAUAUUGCGCAAAUUAACAUGUUCAUAAAUGAUCAAACGCAUAAAAUUAGCCAUAUGCACUCCGUUAGCUAUAUGGUCAGUCCUAUAUAGAUACUGACCAUUUUGAUUUCAGGGACUUUUUGUUGAAGGGUUGGAAAUGUUAGAUCUAAAAUACUAAUAUUUCUUCUAAUUGUAGGCAUUUAAUGGAUUGGUUAUCGCGACAGUUGUCAAGUACGCAGACAAUAUUUUAAAAGGAUUCGCAACGUCAAUAUCAAUAAUUGUAUCUUCUGUUAUAUCAUAUUAUUUCCUCCAAGAUUUUGAUGUGUCAAAGUAAGUU
rnacentral:lncRNA from 1 species